UACGCCCACAUCACGUCAAAACACCGAUUCCCGUCCGAUCUCCGAAGUUAUGCAAAAUCGUGCCUGCUUAGUACCUGGAUGGGUGACUGAUUGGGAAAAGCAAGUGCUGUAA